rnacentral:rRNA from 1 species
GAUGAACGCUGGCGGCGUGCCUAAUACAUGCAAGUCGAGCGAACGGACGAGAAGCUUGCUUCUCUGAUGUUAGCGGCGGACGGGUGAGUAACACGUGGAUAACCUACCUAUAAGACUGGGAUAACUUCGGGAAACCGGAUCUAAUACCGGUUAAUAUUUUGAACCGCAUGGUUCAAAAGUGAAAGACGGUUCUGCUGUCACUUAUAGAUGGAACCUCGCUGCAUUAGCUAGUUGGUAAGGUAACGGCUUACCAAGGCAACGAUGCAUAGCCGACCUGAGAGGGUGAUCGGCCACACUGGAACUGAGACACGGUCCAGACUCCUACGGGAGGCAGCAGUAGGGAAUCUUCCGCAAUGGGCGAAAGCCUGACGGAGCAACGCCGCGUGAGUGAUGAAGGUCUUCGGAUCGUAAAACUCUGUUAUUAGGGAAGAACAUAUGUGUAAGUAACUGUGCACAUCUUGACGGUACCUAAUCAGAAAGCCACGGCUAACUACGUG